rnacentral:rRNA from 1 species
UACGUAGGGUGCAAGCGUUAAUCGGAAUUAUUGGGCGUAAAGAGCUCGUAGGCGGUCUGUCACGUCGGCUGUGAAAACCCGAGGCUCAACCUCGGGCCUGCAGUCGAUACGGGCAAACUAGAGUACUGCAGGGGAGACUGGAAUUCCUGGUGUAGCGGUGAAAUGCGCAGAUAUCAGGAGGAACACCGGUGGCGAAGGCGGGUCUCUGGGCCGAUAUUGACGCUGAGGAGCGAAAGCGUGGGGAGCGAACAGG